AACGCACAUUGCGCCCCUUGGUAUUCCAUGGGGCAUGCCUGUUCGAGCGUCAUAUAACCCUUCAAGCUUUGCUUGGUGUUGGGCGUUGUCACCACGACUCGCCUCAAAUCUAAUUUACUGGCAGUGGCAUAUGGUGCAGCACAUGUACCUGCCCCGUCCGCUAAACCUUAAUUUGACCUCGGAUCAGGUAGGGAUACCCGCUGAACUUAA
rnacentral:misc_RNA from 1 species